UACGUAGGGCGCAAGCGUUGUCCGGAAUUAUUGGGCGUAAAGAGCUCGUAGGCGGUCUGUUACGUCCGCUGUGAAAACCCAGGGCUUAACCCCGAGCCUGCAGUGGAUACGGGCAGACUAGAGGUAGGUAGGGGAGAAUGGAAUUCCCGGUGUAGCGGUGAAAUGCGCAGAUAUCGGGAGGGACACCGGUGGCGAAGGCGGUUCUCUGGGCCUUACCUGACGCUGAGGAGCGAAAGCGUGGGGAGCGAACAGG
rnacentral:rRNA from 1 species